rnacentral:lncRNA from 1 species
UUCUUUCUCCAAUUCCUCAAGCCUCUGUAAAAUAUCCUGAUCGAUAAAAUCAUACACGUUAUGCCCAUCGAGUAUUUCAGGUAUGUUAUCUUCCUUCCAUUCAUCAUCAGCUAAAAGAUAAUGUUUCUUCAAACUUGCAGAGUAAACACCCGCUCCACCAUUUUCAUUUUCAUUCUCCCUUUCCAACUUCCUCUUCACCUUUUCAGCUUCCAUGGCUUUAGCUUCAACAACAGCUUCAGGUAUACAAACAGGUCUUUCCUUCUGAUCACGUGGCUUUGGCAUUGCAACAUGAAACCGAUUCAAACACUCGUUUAUCUUCUUUGACUUCAUUUUGACUUCAACUCUCUGGUCCAACAACCUCUCACAAGCUGCGUUUUUUACCGCGAUU